rnacentral:rRNA from 1 species
GAUGAACGCUGGCGGCGUGCCUAAUACAUGCAAGUCGAGCGAACAGAUGAGGAGCUUGCUCCUCUGACGUUAGCGGCGGACGGGUGAGUAACACGUGGAUAACCUACCUAUAAGACUGGGAUAACUUCGGGAAACCGGAGCUAAUACCGGAUAAUAUAUUGAACCGCAUGGUUCAUUAGUGAAAGACGGUUUUGCUUUCACUUAUAGAUGGAUCCCCGCCGCAUUAGCUAGUUGGUAAGUUAACGGCUUACCAAGGCAACGAUGGUUAGCCGACCUGAGAGGGGGGUUCGCCCACACGGAAACGAGACCAGGUUCAGGCUCCUACGGGAGGGAGCAGGAGGGAAUCUUCCGGCAUGGGGGAAAGCCUGAAGGAGCCAAGCCGGGGUGGUGAAGAAGGGCUUCGGGUCGGUAAACCCUUUUAUUAGGGAAGAAAAAAAGUGGAAGGAAAUAUGCCCGUCUUGACGGUAACUAAUCCAAAAACCACCGCUAACUUCGUG